rnacentral:rRNA from 1 species
CCUACGGGAGGCAGCAGUGGGGAAUAUUGGACAAUGGGGGCAACCCUGAUCCAGCCAUGCCGCGUGUGUGAAGAGGGCCCUCGGGUUGUAAAGCACUUUCAGUGAGGAAGAACGCCUGGUGGUUAAUACCCAUCAGGAAAGACAUCACUCACAGAAGAAGCACCGGCUAACUCCGUGCCAGCAGCCGCGGUAAUACGGAGGGUGCGAGCGUUAAUCGGAAUUACUGGGCGUAAAGCGCGCGUAGGUGGCUUGAUAAGCCGGUUGUGAAAGCCCCGGGCUCAACCUGGGAACGGCAUCCGGAACUGUCAAGCUAGAGUGCAGGAGAGGAAGGUAGAAUUCCCGGUGUAGCGGUGAAAUGCGUAGAGAUCGGGAGGAAUACCAGUGGCGAAGGCGGCCUUCUGGACUGACACUGACACUGAGGUGCGAAAGCGUGGGUAGCAAACAGGAUUAGAUACCCUUGUAGUC